rnacentral:rRNA from 1 species
AUGAAGGCAGCAUUAAAAUCUAUCCUCCCACAAACUCUGCAUAAGCUGUGUCGGUGGCAUAUCAUGAAGAAGUACAAGGACCACCUCGCCUUGAUGUCUAAGGCGCACGAGAAGCUCAAGGACGAACUCAAUGCAGUGCUGAACCACCCACUAAUCCCGUCAGAAUUUGAACGAGCAUGGAAGAAUCUCAUUCAGAGGUACAACUUGCAAGACGACGAAGUGAUGAAUUUGCUGUGGGAUGACAGGCACGAGUGGAUCUCAGCUUACUACAAGGAAAUUUUCUGUGCUCGGAUGACUUCCACACCGAGAAGCGAGAGCAUGAACCGCAUACUGAAGAAAAAUUUUGUCAGGGAGAAGCAUGAUCUCCAUCUGUUUUCUCAGCAGGUGGACAAGUGCAUUCAGACCAAGAAGGCCGUCGAGCACACAGAUACAAUAGCAAAUGAGUCAUAGGUAAAAACAACAACAAAGUUUGGCUUCGAAGUUCAGCUAUCAAAAGUGUAUACAAGGGCAGUGUUUGCAGAUUUCAAAGAAACACUCUACCAUAGCACUGCAUUCAGAGCAGAACGGUGCCCUGAGAACCCGACAAAGUAUCUCGUACACCACUACAACAGAUCGAAUGCAUUUGACUGGGCAAGGCAUAAUUUCCAAGUGGUCCCCGAUGAAGAGAAAGGUGUCUACGAAUGUGACUGCAAACUCUCGACACACACAGGCCUCUUUUGCAUCCAUGUCUUAUGCAUGCUUUCUCAUUUGAGAGUACUCAACAUUCCUGAGGUGUACAUCAUGAAAAGAUACACCCGUAACACAAGAUCAGAUGCAACGUUUGACAAAAGAGACUACGAACAAACAACACCAGAUGGAACCUCGCUUUUUUGCCAUAGAAAAUUGCUGACAGAAAUAGCAAUGGACCUUGCAAACAGAGCGACAAGGUCCGAUGCUGGGUGCCACAGAGCGUUGUCUGGUAUGAGGGCACUGAUAGAGGAAAUUGACGUGCUCAACAAAGAAGAAGAAGAAGCAUCAAAACUAAAGUAA